UAGAUAUUUACACCCACUGCAUAAUUGUUUAGAGCCAAUAUUUACUCUGCAGUAUAUAUUAAUUUUUUCAUAUGGUCUCUACUAUCUUAGUAUCUAUUUUCUGGCAAAAGUAAUGCAGUAGAAGUUUCAUACUUGAAAUAUAGGUAUGAAGGCCUAUCAGAAAAGUUUUUGUCGUCACCUGUUCCGAAGAUAUUGCUGCUAGCUGGAACAGAUAGACUGGACAGGUUUCAACAUCUACUAUCUUAAGAAAGUUGAUGUUAUUGCUCAUGAUUUAUUCAUUAUUAGAGAGAUUUUAAUGGAAAUAAUGAGACGAGUGUUUAACUUCAGUAUACAUGUAUUUGUUAAUUAAUAAGUUCAUUAGUAGAUAGUUUAUCUGUGUCGUCUUCCUGUCUCUGCAACAUAAACUUUAUGGUUCUUUGAUAGAACUCUAUCAGAGCAUAUGAUAUGUUUUUGAGAAUCACUGCACAUGAUUCUACAUAUGUUACUACUGUUUCUAUGGUCAUCUUGUCCCAAACUGUUUAGAAGAAUGGUGUCAAAAUCAGCAACUCCAUUAGAGGCUUCAUAUGCUUGUCAUUCUUUUGUCACCAGCAAUAUUAAAUUGAUUGCCAGCAUGGGGCAUCUUGUGUGCUCUAUAAAUUAUUCAAGUAAAGAAAUUUUUUAGAACAUUAUUUAUUCAAAAAUAUAUACAUUUUGUUGUAUACAUUUUUGUCCUGAAAGCUGGUACACUUUUAUAUUUAUUAAAAAAUAUAUACAUUUUUGGUGAUAUAUGUUCAAAUUUACACUUUUAAACUGUGUAUAGAAUCAAGUGAGCCAUAUACAAGCAUCUGGGUCUGUUAAUAAUCAAAAUUUUGCAACAUAUAUCACCUCUGUGGACAUACAUAAGCUCUAGGUCCUUGAGUCUUCUUCUCUCUCAGUUGCAGGUAGUCUGCCUUCUAGUUAAAUGAUAUAUUUCGAUUAUUACUUCAACUGAAGGUUGAUUUGCACUUGCAUUAAACUUUUACCAAAAUGUCUUACCGUUUUGUUUAAUAAAUAUCUUUUGAAUGUUCUAUAUAUUGUUUGGAAAACAUUUAAUGUUGUAAAGGAUCCACCCUACAACAUUUCUAUACAGCUUUGGCAUUGCUUAUCUUUUAUUAUAUCACAGGGCACUUACUAUUGGUCAAAUGCAAGGAAAGUUCCAGAUGGUACUAGUUAGACAUACUGGCCAUGCUAUACAGGUCCUUUCCAUUUUAUUCGUGAACUUAAAAAUAUUGUAAUAUAUUGCUAUACAUUGCUAUUCAUAUGUAUCCAUGAAAGUUUCUUCUCUUUUUUUUUUUCCUAAAUCAAUAUCUUAUGCAUUGAUGUCAAUAUGUCACAGGAAGAUGUACCUGAUGAAUUUGCCACCAUUGUUCUUAAUUUUAUCUCACGUAACAGGAUAGGACCAAAUGGAGUUGAGGUUGGUCAUUAUUUCACCUUACUGUGAAACUUUAAGCAAUUUUUCUUUUCGAUAUCCCGGCAGGUCUUUGUGGUCAAAUGUAUAAGCUACUUAUCGAGUAUGCUUCUUAGAUAACUUGUUUAAAUAUUAAUUGGUGAAUAUAAAAUGUGAAAACACUGCUAUGUGAAUAUUAAUUUGUGAAUAUAAAAUGUGAAAAUGAAUAAGGAUAUCAAGUACUUUCUAUAUGCAGCAUUGCAGAUUUACCAAUAUGAGAAAAUAAACAACAAUUUAGCACUUUCCUCCACUGUAGUGUUGAUCCUUGGAGAGAUCCGCUAGGAGCUUAUUGUUUAAUGAAACAUGAUGCAGUAGACUUGUUCUCCUUGGUUGGGGUACUGAGGUGAUGUGGCACUAUGGGUUGCAUAUUAGCAGGCAUUUAUCUUUUUAAAUUGCCCCCCUGACGGGCAGUAGGGAGCAGUCAGGUACCACCCUCCCACCAAGGCAUUGAUCCUUGCAGGGAGCAGUCAGGUACCAUGUUACAACUAUGAAAUUUUCCUUCUUUUCCUCCUAUUAGAGCAGAUCCUAAUAGAGAUUAGGGACAAUGUGUGUAAUUUGCUGUAUAGGCACGCUCCUCAGAGUAGAUUACUCUUUUGGGGCGUCUGAGCCGCAACUUGUGUGGGUAACAUACACACAUGUGGGACAAUUUUAUGAUAGGUAUGUUUUUGUUAGGAGCUACUUCCCUAGGGCUGGUGCAUUAUGCACUACUUUUUGAAGUUGAAAUAGUAUCAUUCGUAGUUUAUAUUACCUAGNGAUUUUUCUCAGAACUAUAAUUUAUUUACCUACAUAUGAAGAUACAGAAUUCUGCAGUAUGUGUGUCCGGUGACAUUAAUAUGAGCAAGAAAGUAUUUGACUAUUAGAAAUGUUUCUGAUGUAGAUUGAAAUACCUGUUGUUUUGAUCUUCAGUGAGUUGUGUUUAAUAAAGUGAUAGGUGUUCCAGAUUCUUGUUAUUUCCUAAAGGGCUCAUGGACUGUCUCACCCUAAGUAUGGCAUGUUUGUUUCUGCCUUUUGAAAUCAAAACAAGUUAUUUUUUUUCUUUCACAGUAUUAUUUGUUUCUUCAACUCUGUGUGUUUGUCAUAUGUUCUUUAUUUUCACCGUUUUCCAUUGUAUGUUAGUUUUAUAAACUCCUAAUAUCAUUCUAUAACUCGACCACUCUUAUGUUAUUUUUAAAUCUAGGCUUAGCUUCGUUGUAAUUUUUAGCUUAAUUUUAAUUAUAAAUUUUUGAACAGAUUGAAUGGAGUGUAAAAGGAGGAACUUUAAGAAAUGUAGAGUCUGCACGUAUAUCCAUUCCCAGUACAGUGAAGUAUGAUGAUUCCAAAAAGUGGUAAGUAUUACUUGAAACUUUCUAUUGCUACUUAAAUUUUCUUCUCUGGGCAUGCUUUUAAGUGGGAUUCUCCAUUUUUUCUUUUCCAUGCCCAACUGCGACGUUUCCACAACUUCUUAAAUAAACUAAAAAUAAACCGUGAUAUGAAACUAUAAAUGAUGUCCAUUUAUAAUCAUUACAGAAGUUCCAUUUAUCAUUUGCAUUUAACUUCAAAAAAUAUACCAUUCCUAAUUUGAAUUUGCAGUUACGUUCACAGAGCAAAUCUGAUGGAAACGGAACAAUACUGGAGAGGCUGGUAUGGUUUUGAUCUCCAAUUUUCUAUGUUAUUGGCACACUUUUACUUGAUAAAUUUUAGGCGAUAGAUAAUUGUGUAAAGGCCAUAUUUCUGGGGAAAGCUAAUUAUAUCUAUUGUUAUUUUGUCUCCAAAUUUUGCUAAUACUCAUCUCAGUUUUGUCUGUUCUGGCAAUAGCGGUUUUAAUCUGAACUAAAUUGAUUGUUAGUGGAUGUAAUAGAACUCCAAAAGUAUGUAGUUACUGACCAUUAGUAAAAUCCAUAACCUGAGUACCGGACUCCUGCUGAGGUAAAUGACUUCUAGAUUAUGCAAAUAUCAGUUUUAAUUUUAUUAUAUGUCUGUCAAAGCCGGGCAUCUUUCCGAAAACAACCUCUUUACUCCUGGAAGAAGAGGCAGAGGUAAGGUCUGCUUACAAUCUUAGUUCGUAACCUCCUAGACCCUGCUCUACAUAUCUAGGGAAUGUUUGGUUUGGAUUAUCAUUUUAUAGAACUAUUAGAAUUUAGAUAUUUACACCCACUGCAUAAUUGUUUAGAGCCAAUAUUUACUCUGCAGUAUAUAUUAAUUUUUUCAUAUGGUCUCUACUAUCUUAGUAUCUAUUUUCUGGCAAAAGUAAUGCAGUAGAAGUUUCAUACUUGAAAUAUAGGUAUGAAGGCCUAUCAGAAAAGUUUUUGUCGUCACCUGUUCCGAAGAUAUUGCUGCUAGCUGGAACAGAUAGACUGGACAGGUUUCAACAUCUACUAUCUUAAGAAAGUUGAUGUUAUUGCUCAUGAUUUAUUCAUUAUUAGAGAGAUUUUAAUGGAAAUAAUGAGACGAGUGUUUAACUUCAGUAUACAUGUAUUUGUUAAUUAAUAAGUUCAUUAGUAGAUAGUUUAUCUGUGUCGUCUUCCUGUCUCUGCAACAUAAACUUUAUGGUUCUUUGAUAGAACUCUAUCAGAGCAUAUGAUAUGUUUUUGAGAAUCACUGCACAUGAUUCUACAUAUGUUACUACUGUUUCUAUGGUCAUCUUGUCCCAAACUGUUUAGAAGAAUGGUGUCAAAAUCAGCAACUCCAUUAGAG
rnacentral:lncRNA from 1 species